rnacentral:tRNA from 1 species
AAGUAGCUCAGUGGUAGAGCAUCACCUUGCCAAGGUGGGGGUCGCGAGUUCGAAUCUCGUUUUCCG